GUGAGGAAUAUUGGUCAAUGGGCGCGAGCCUGAACCAGCCAAGUAGCGUGCAGGACGACGGCCCUAUGGGUUGUAAACUGCUUUUAUACGGGGAUAAAGUAUGCCACGUGUGGUUUAUUGCAGGUACCGUAUGAAUAAGGACCGGCUAAUUCCGUGCCAGCAGCCGCGGUAAUACGGAAGGUCCGGGCGUUAUCCGGAUUUAUUGGGUUUAAAGGGAGCGUAGGCCGGGUUUUAAGCGUGCCGUGAAAUGUCGGGGCUCAACCUUGACACUGCGGCGCGAACUGGAGUCCUUGAGUGCGCGGAACGUAUGCGGAAUUCGUGGUGUAGCGGUGAAAUGCUUAGAUAUCACGAAGAACCCCGAUUGCGAAGGCAGCAUACGGCAGCGCUACUGACGCUGAAGCUCGAAGGCGCGGGUAUCGAACAGG
rnacentral:rRNA from 1 species